CACGUAGGGUGCGAGCGUUGUCCGGAAUUAUUGGGCGGAAAGAGCUCGUAGGCGGUGUGUCGCGUCGGCCGUGAAAACCUGCAGCUUAACUGUGGGCUUGCGGUCGAUACGGGCAUCACUGGAGUUCGGCAGGGGAGACUGGAAUUCCUGGUGUAGCGGUGAAAUGCGCAGAUAUCAGGAGGAACACCGGUGGCGAAAGCGGCUCUCUGGAACGGUACUGACGCUGAGACGCGAAAGCGUGGGGAGCGAACAGG
rnacentral:rRNA from 1 species